rnacentral:rRNA from 1 species
CCUACGGGAGGCAGCAGUCGAGAAUCAUUCACAAUGGGGGAAACCCUGAUGGUGCGACGCCGCGUGGGGGAAUGAAGGUCUUCGGAUUGUAAACCCCUGUCAUGUGGGAGCAAAUUAAAAAGAUAGUACCACAAGAGGACGAGACGGCUAACUCUGUGCCAGCCGCCGCGGUAAUACAGAGGUCGCAAGCGUUGUUCGGAAUCACUGGGCGUAAAGCGUGCGUAGGCUGUUUCGUAAGUCUGGUGUGAAAGGCGCGGGCUCAACCCGCGGACGGCACAUGAUACUGCGAGACUAGAGUAAGGGAGGGGGAGCCGGAAUUCUCGGUGUAGCAGUGAAAUGCGUAGAUAUCGAGAGGAACACUCGUGGCGAAGGCGGGUUCCUGGACAUUAACUGACGCUGAGGCACGAAGGCCAGGGGAGCGAAAGGGAUUAGAUACCCCUGUAGUC